AGGAAAAUCCCCUGAACCUACCAAAAAUAAACCCUGAAACCUGCGAUAAAUCAAUAACCUUAUCUCACAUCUGCAAACCCGUUUUUUAGAAAUCAAAACCAUCUUUGAAUAACCUGAUUUCGCCAACCCAGUAGAUUCAUUUUUCAGAAAUCAAAACCAUCUUUGAAUAACCUGAUUUCGCGAACCCAGCAGAUUCAAGUAGAAACCCUAGAAAGUUGAGAACAGGAAUCAGGUAGAAAUUGGUAGAGCUUUAUGGGUUUGUCAUGGUGGAUGGAAAUUUUGUUGUAGAGAUUGGCUUCAGGUAUUGGUGGUUGAUGGUAUUUUUCUGGUAAUUGUUGGUGGUGGUAGUUUGAUGGUGAAGCUGGUGGUUCUGUAGCUGUUGGUGUUAUGGGUGGCUGUAAGUGUUUCUCAUGGGUGCUUUGGUGAUAGUGACUGUUGGACUUUCUCUUGUUGGUGGUGAACCAUUGCUCUACUGGAGGAACUCAUGUAAAUUCUUUUACAAAUGAUGGAAUUAGAAAGUCUUCUACAAAUGGUGGAGUUCAGAAAUCUCGAGGCUGUAAUGUCGAGAAUCAAAAAAUGAUUAGACAAACAGCACUUUUGUGUUGCUACUGCUGUUGAGUGUAUUGCAGGAGUUGCAAUAGCUAGUCUUAUUGGAGUCUCAUGUCUGGUUCCGACAAGGCAGAUGUACAGUUCACGGGUCUUUAGCUUAUGCUGGAAAAGUUAAGAGGAUCAACAUUGGUCACAUUCUCUGUAUUGCUCUUUUAUUUCUUUUGUUUCUCUGAUAUAGCCUUUUAGUGGAAACUUUUCCUUACAUUUACAUUGCUUUACCAGUGAAACACCUCGAUAUGGAAAGGGAAGCGAGACACCAAUGCAUCCUUCACAAACUCCACUGCAUCAAGCAACACCGAUACACAAUGGUAUGCGAGCACAUACACAAUGGUAUGCGAGCACAUACGCGAAAAUCCUUAUGCUCCCAUGAGUCUUGCAAGGUUGUUGCUAUAUCACCUUAGCUCAUAAGCUUCAACUGGCUGUUAUCUUUAUUGAUGACAUUGAUAGCUUUUUGGGGUAUCAUCGUGCAACGAACUGCGAAGCUUUGACAAACAUGAAAAAAGAGUUCCAUGGCUUGCGACUCUACAAGUUAUAGGUAUUUCUGGAUAUUGUGGAACUGUGAAUCUUCUUAUGUACUCAAAAGGCCUGAAUGAUAAAACUGGACUUGAAAAAGAAUCGCAGCUUAAUUUCUUGCCUACCAAAAGGAAAAUCAUUUAGGAGAAGACACUUGGACGUAGUGGAGCAACAAGUGAUAAUAGUCUACAAAAGUAGAAGAAAGCUCAAUGAUAAACGGUACUUCCAAGUUCUGGAUUGGGCAGGUCAGUUCAUCUUUUUGCUGGUUUUUGCUGCAGUUUGUGUUUAUUUGGUUGCUCUGCACUGAUUGUAAGAAAGAAUUAUCCUUUUAGAACUUAUGGUGUGAAUUCAUUAUUUUCCUAGAUUUCUUUUGUUGGUAUUUUUGAGGAUGUGUAAACUGUAUUCAAAUUUAUAUUGAACUUGGAGAUUGAUUUUGUACAUCGAUUUUGAAAGUUUGGUUGAAUGGUGAAAUAUGUCAUCUAAGUAUAUGAAAUUGUAAAUU